rnacentral:pre_miRNA from 1 species
AGAGGAAUAGCUGGGUCAAAUGGUGGUUACAUUCCCAACUUUCCAAGGAAUCUCCAUACUGCUUCCAAAUUGGCUGCACCAAUUUGCAGUCCCACCAGCAAU